rnacentral:tRNA from 1 species
GUACUUUUAGCUUAAUUGGAAGAGCGGCAACCUUCUAAGUUGUAGGUUAAAGGUUCAAGUCCUUUAAAGUACU